rnacentral:rRNA from 1 species
CACGGUAAACGAUGGAUGCCCGCUGUUUGCCCUUCGGGGUGAGUGGCUAAGCGAAAGCGUUAAGCAUCCCACCUGGGGAGUACGCCGGCAACGGUGAAACUCAAAGGAAUUGACGGGGGCCCGCACAAGCGGAGGAACAUGUGGUUUAAUUCGAUGAUACGCGAGGAACCUUACCCGGGCUUGAAUUGCAGAUGACGGAUCUAGAGAUAGAGACUUCCUUCGGGACAUCUGUGAAGGUGCUGCAUGGUUGUCGUCAGCUCGUGCCGUGAGGUGUCGGCUUAAGUGCCAUAACGAGCGCAACCCUUCUCUUCAGUUGCCAUCAGGUCAAGCUGGGCACUCUGGAGACACUGCCACCGUAAGGUGUGAGGAAGGUGGGGAUGACGUCAAAUCAGCACGGCCCUUACGUCCGGGGCUACACACGUGUUACAAUGGCCGGUACAGAAAGUCGGAUGCCCGUAAGGUCAUUCUAAUCAAGAAAGCCGGUCCCAGUUCGGACUGAGGUCUGCAACCCGACC